UACGUAGGGUGCGAGUGUUGUCCGGAUUUAUUGGGCGUAAAGAGCUCGUAGGCGGUUUGUCGCGUCGGCCGUGAAAUCUCCACGCUUAACGUGGAGCGUGCGGUCGAUACGGGCAGACUUGAGUUCGGUAGGGGAGACUGGAAUUCCUGGUGUAGCGGUGAAAUGCGCAGAUAUCAGGAGGAACACCGGUGGCGAAGGCGGGUCUCUGGGCCGUAACUGACGCUGAGGAGCGAAAGCGUGGGGAGCGAACAGG
rnacentral:rRNA from 1 species